GGGAAGGAAAAAAGAAACUGAAAAUACAAAACAGAUUUGUUUUCUCAAAGGCAAACCAUCAAUUCUACUGGGCAAUUAAAAAAUCAGAGAUUUGGUUGAAUUAUCAUAUGUUUCGUAUAGCAUUAACUAUAAUCUCCCCUAGAAGAUAAACCUUGAAGAAGAAUAUUAAAAAACUUGCUCAUUAAAUAAUGAGCUAUAGACUGCUCCCCAGCUAUUCCUUUUUGUCUUGUUGAACUGUGACCUUUAUUUCUUGAUCCUAUGUAGCUGUCCCAUCUGACAGGCAGUUCCAUCUUUACUGACACAGAUUCACCAAUUCAACGAUUUUAUUGUAAUAAAUCACUGUCUGCACCUACUGGAUAUAUGUUUCAAAAAUAGCUCAUCAAGCCCCAUACUAAUUUUCCCAGCAAGUUUACUAGCAUAGUGGAAUCUUGGGUUUGGCCAAGCCUUAUGGCGGACAACUAAACAUUGCUAAGUAGCUUCAUUUCCUGCAUUUUCUUUAGGCCUAAUGAUACAAAACCAAGUGCAUUCCUAGUGCGCGGAAGGACAAAGUCCAGGACAGACGGAGGGAGUCUCUUAUAAGAAACACUGAUGAGCAUCAAUUGUGUACAACCCCCAUAAGCUGUUACAUCUUUGCCAUUGCAAUAUAUUGUAGUCACCUAUCCUUUUCACUUUAAGCAUCACCAGGGACUUUAGCCAACCCCUCUC
rnacentral:misc_RNA from 1 species